UUAAUAGAUGUAGUUUGAAAAAGUAAAUAUCUAUUAAUUUAUCGGGUAAGUUACGUAAAGAAAGUAAUUUUUGUUUUUAGUAGAUUUAUAGAAAAAAUAAUAUUAGAUAUAGAGUAUUAGUAUUGUGAAAGAAAUUUUAUUUUGUAUUAAAAGAAAAAUUUAUGUUUUGUACCUUGUGUAUCAGGGUCUAUUAAAAAUAGAUUGAAAUUUCAAAUUUCUCGAAUUUAGAAGAGCUAUUUAAGUUAUGUUUUUAUUGUAGCAACAAUAUUAUUAAUAAUUAAAUUGAAGUGAAAUGCUAUUCGAUUCUAAAUAUAUCUAGUUUUUUAAGAAAAAAAUUUAAUUUUUUAUUAUUUAAAUAUCUUUUUUAUUAUAUAGUGAGAUGUUUAAUAAGAGUGAUUACCUAGGGGUUGAGCUUUAGGUAAAAUUUAUAUAAAUAUAGUUUUAUAAUGUCAAAUAAAUGAAUAGGAUUUGAAGUUUCUGUUUAAGGGAGUUAUUUCUUGGUUGUUUGUUGGUAAGAUUUAUUAAAUUUAUUUAUGUUUUUUAUUAAAAUUUAUAUUAUAAUUUUUCUUGUUUAGAAAAAAUGAUAGAAUUAGUAUAACUAGAUUUAUUAAUUUACUUUAAGUAAAGGUUUAAUAAAGGAAUUCGGCAAAUAUUUUUCUCACCUGUUUAUUAAAAACAUGGCUUUUUGAUUAUAAUUUAAGGUCUAGCCUGCCCAAUGAUUUUUUAAAUGGCCGCGGUAUACUGACCGUGCAAAGGUAGCAUAAUCAUUAGUUUCUUAAUUGGAAGCUUGUAUGAAAGGUUGGAUGAGGAAAAAACUGUCUCUGUUAAAAUUUAUUAGAAUUUUAUUAUUUUGUUAAAAGGCAUAAAUAUUUAUAAAAGACGAGAAGACCCUAUAGAGUUUUAUAAUUUGAUUAGAAAGAGCAAUAAGAAUAUUUUUUUUUAUUUGAUUAAUUUAUUUGGUUGGGGUGAUUGAAAAAUUUAAUAAACUUUUUUUUGGUGAUUUUACUGAUAUGUAAAUAUUUGAUCCUUUGUAAAGAUUAUAAGAAAAAAUUACCUUAGGGAUAACAGCGUUAUUUUCUUUGAGAGUUCAUAUCGAAAAGAGAGUUUGCGACCUCGAUGUUGGAUUAAAAUUAAGGUUUGGUGGAGGAGCUAAACUAUUAGGUCUGUUCGACCUUUAAAAUUUUACAUGAUCUGAGUUUAGACCGGCGUGAGCCAGGUUGGUUUCUAUCUUUAUGAUUAUAAAAUUUUUUAGUACGAAAGGACCAAAAAUUUACUAAAUUAGUUUGAAUUAGAAUUCUAUUAUUGCUUUGGCAGAAUAGUGUGAUAGAUUUAGAAUCUUUUUAUGUAGUUUUAUAGAACUAUAAGUA
rnacentral:rRNA from 1 species